rnacentral:rRNA from 1 species
AUUGAACGCUGGCGGCAGGCCUAACACAUGCAAGUCGAAAGAGUGGCGGACGGGUGAGUAAUGUCUGGGAAACUGCCCGAGGGAGGGGGAUAACUACGGGAAACGGUAGCUAAUACCGCAUAGAAUCGGAUGUGCGCAGAGGGGAUGAGCUAGUAGGUGGGGUAACGGCGCACCCAGGCGACGAUCCCUAGCUGGGCUGAGAGGAUGACCAGCCACCCUGGAACUGAGACACGGUCCAGACUCCUACGGGAGGCAGCAGUGGGGAAUAUUGCACAAUGGGCGCAAGCCUGAUGCAGCCAUGCCGCGUGUAUGAAGAAGGCCUUCGGGUUGUAAAGUACUUUCAGCGAGGAGGCGUUACUCGCAGAAGAAGCACCGGCUAACUCCGUGCCAGCAGCCGCGGUAAUAC